rnacentral:rRNA from 1 species
GGCGAACGCUGGCGGCGUGCUUAACACAUGCAAGUCGAACGGUAAGGCCCUUCGGGGUACACGAGUGGCGAACGGGUGAGUAACACGUGGGUGAUCUGCCCUGCACUUCGGGAUAAGCCUGGGAAACUGGGUCUAAUACCGGAUAGGACCACUGCCUACAUGGGUGGUGGUGGAAAGCUGUUGCGGUGUGGGAUGGGCCCGCGGCCUAUCAGCUUGUUGGUGGGGUGAUGGCCUACCAAGGCGACGACGGGCAGCCGGCCUGAGAGGGUGACCGGCCGCACUGGGACUGAGAUACGGCCCAGACUCCUACGGGAGGCAGCAGUGGGGAAUAUUGCACAAUGGGCGCAAGCCUGAUGCAGCGACGCCGCGUGAGGGAUGACGGCCUUCGGGUUGUAAACCUCUUUCAGCACCGACGAAGCGCAAGUGACGGUAGGUGCAGAAGAAGGACCGGCCAACUACGUGCCAGCAGCCGCGGUAA